GCAGCCGGAAGGGGCCAGAUCACACAGGGCUUUGUAACCAGAAGAAGGAGGUGGACGUUUCUUCUAAGUGGGAGUCCUAAGGGAUCUGAUUGCUGAUUUUUAAGAGGUCAGUGUUUCUGUUUUGUGGAGAGAAGAUUGAACAGAAGCAGAAAUGAAAGCAGAACACCCAUUAAGAGAUUCUUGCGUUGAGAGCGAGGCUGCUUGAACUACAAGAUCUCAAACAUUUUGUGGGCCAUUACAAAGCUCAUGUCCCCUAUGUCUGUGGGGCCUAAUGAUUCAAACAGCCGUGACCAGGCCUGCCUGUGUGGCCCAGCCUGGCUGGCAUUCAAGUGAAUAACAUCAUCUCCAUCUCACUGCACAGAAGUAUGAACUGCGGUGUCAGCAGGUUUCCAUGACACCACCGGUGAUGUAGAGCACACAUCUCUCCCACACUCUGCUGGUUACCAGGCCCUGGCAGUACAGACCAGGCCUCCUGGGUUGCCUUCCUCCUUCCGGCUCACAGGUUCCUCUUCACUCCCAUGCUCUGCUCCCCAGACCUCUGGCCCAGAAGGAGUGACCCAGAGCCUGAGGCAGGAGAAAUUUUGAGGCGGAGACUGGAGCUGAGGAUGAGGCCCAGGCCCGGCUAGAGAGAAAACACUGAGAAGGGACUGAGGCCCCCACAUGCUGGAAUCUUGUGAAAAGAGGUGAAGGCAAAGCUGGGGAUGAGAGAGAGAAGACGGAGCAGGAGAUUAGCAAGGAAAUAAGGUGGGGAAACAGCUGGGAAGACAGACAUGCAUCUGGAAGAUUCCAGAAAAGGCCAUUUCAUCCAGCCCUGCUCCAGCAGUUUGUAUUUCAGCAGCCUCACGGGACACCUGGCCUUUCCUUUCUGACAUCGUUCUCCAUCCAUCCAGCACCUCUUGGAGAUCACAAGGGGCUCUCCACAUGAGACUUUUGAAACUAAGAAAUAGAUUUGGGUGUUGCACGUGUUUGCUCUGGAGCCACAUUGCUUGGGCUCAAAUCCCAGAUCCAUGGCUUCAUCACCUAUGAACCUUGGGCACAUUUCCCCACAUGCCUGUGCCUCAGUUUCCUCAGCUGUGAAAUGGAGUGAUAAUAGUUCCUACUUUUACUGAGUCAUUGUGACGUUUUCUGUGAAAGGCCUAACAUAUGAAAAGCACUCCAUAAAUGUUUAGCUAUUAUUAUUUCAAGGAAUUGUAAAAACAGGAUCACAAAAUUGUGGAAUAUCAUUAAUGUUUACAUUUAACAAAUUAUACCCUUUAAUUCAGAAAAUGCAAUGGCAUAUAACUGUGGUAUUUACAGGUAAUAUAGAAGUUAAGGUUUUUUCUAUAUAAUUAACUUAUAGCACCCUAGAGGUAGGAUGGUUCAGUCAUGGGACGUGAGUUUAGAGCUGAAUGAGAAGUAUCUGUGUUAUGACUGUAUUUAUAACCUCAUUUGGAAGCAACGUUAAAAGCCUAAAUUUGAGAUCCUUUGUAAAUGUUUGUCUCCAAGCCAAAUGCUUUUUCCUGGUCCCCUUCCUGACUCAUGCUCCCACCCCCGUUCAUAUCUUAAAAUGAUUAGGGCAGAAAAGGGUGGGGGAGUUGGAAUAGACUCUACUUCCUGCCUCUCUGAUUUUACAAUUAGAUUAACAGGGCAUAAGGCCUUUACCUCUACAACUGGAUGAUUUAUAGUUUUAUAUAUAUUACACACACACACACACACACACACACACACACACAGAGAAAGAGAGAGAGACAGAGAGAGAUAUUCAGCCUAAUAUGUCAGUAUAGAUCCUUUUGCAAUUCAUGAGCAUGAUGAUGUGGUAUCACACUUACGUGUGAGAUGUGCCUCCCUCAAACCUUCUUCCUACAGGUUGGCACUUUGCCCACCUGACAUGAAAAAAGAAGUCAAUGUAGAAGGAGAGGUAAUACAAGGCUAAAACUCACUUGUCCUGUAAACAACUGAAGACAAGCCAGUCUUUGAGAUGAAAGCCUGCAGGUGCUAGCCAAAAGAGAAGGGUGGGGAGGACAGGUAAACUUUCCCUACCUUACAAUUUGGUUUUUACUCACAUAUGCCCAAUAGAAGCUGUGUGUAAUGCAAGCAAUAAAAUGAAUGACUUUCUACCAAAUGGCACUCUUCAUGGCUGCAAACGUGACCCUAAACUACAGCAGUCUAUAAUGUGGCAGACUCAAGAGGGACACAAAGUUAACACUGCCCCAUGCUUUCCCCUGGAAACACCAAUGCCAUGCAUGAAGGGCUUUGUGGCUGCUAACCCAGGGAACAUUGCUUGCAGAACUUUAGAAACAGGAGCCUUGCCAGCUCUCAGGGAAGCUAAGAUGAAAAGUCUACCUAGAGUACAGCAGACUGGUUGACCUUUCAAAGGCCCUUUUAUCCUCGAGAGUCUGUGGUUUUGAUGUAGUGUUGAGUACUUUUUAACUUUCUCUCGAGAAGUGUCAGUAAGUAGAUGAAAAAUAAAGUCUGGUUCUGCACAAAUGCACUAAUUCCCCCAUGCAUUUUCAAAGAUUUUUAAAAAUAGAGAAAUUUUAUAGUCACAUAAUAAGUAAUAAUAAUCCAAACAUGAUGAGAAAUUUAAAUUUGUCUGCUUUGCAGAUCUAAGAGUUCAAAAUUGCUAUGAAGGCAUAUUUUGGGGGGAUACUAUUUUAUAUACAUGGGAGACAAGUCAUUGUUGCUCUGCAAAUAGUAGGAAGACAGCACUUUUUUUGAGUGAGUUUUUAAGAAAGUUUUUCGUGUCUUCAUGUUAAUUAUUUUGGAGGAAAUAGAGUCACUGGAUAACGAUGAUAACUUAAAAAUAGCUAACCUUUAUUAAAUGCAGUCUAUCUCAGUUAUCUAUUGCUAUAUAACAGGCCACAAAAUUUAGUUGCUUAAGACAAUAUUUUAUUAUUUCUUAGGGUUUUAUGGAUUGACUGGGCUCAGCUGGGAGGUUCUU
rnacentral:lncRNA from 1 species